rnacentral:rRNA from 1 species
CAGGAUUAGAUACCCUGGUAGUCCACGCUGUAAUCGAUGAUCACUCGUUCGUUGGCAAUACACCGUCAGCGACUGAUCGAAAGCAUUAAGUGAUCCACCUGGGGAGUACGACCGCAAGGUUGAAACUCAAAGGAAUUGACGGGGGCCCGCACAAGCGGAGGAACAUGUGGUUUAAUUCGAUGAUACGCGAGGAACCUUACCUGGGCUUAAAUGUAGAACGACGGACCGGGAAACUGGUCUUUCUUCGGACGGUCUGCAAGGUGCUGCAUGGCGGUCGUCAGCUCGUGCCGUGAGGUGUCGGGUUAAGUCCCAUAACGAGCGCAACCCCCAUCAUUAGUUGCCAGCGGCUCACUCGCCGGCGCGACUCUAAUGAAACUGCCGGUCUCCCCCGAGAGGAAGGUGGGGAUGACGUCAAGUCAGCACGGCCAUUAUGUCCAGGGCUACACACGUGUUACAAUGGUCGGUACAAAGGGCAGCUACCUGGCGACAGGAUGCUAAUCUCGAAAACCGAUCUCAGUUCGGAUCGAAGUCUGCAACUCGACUUCGUGAAGCUGGAUUCGCUAGUAAUCGCGCAUCACCCAUGGCGCGCUGAUACGUUCCCGGGCAUUGACACACCGCCCGUCAAGCCAUGGAAGCUGGGGGUA